rnacentral:rRNA from 1 species
AAUAGAUACCCUGGUAGUCCACGCCGUGAACGUUGGAUACUAGGUGUGGCGGUUAUACCAAUGACUGCCGUGCCGAAGCUAACGCAUUAAGUAUCCCGCCUGGGGAGUACGGCCGCAAGGCUAAAACUCAAAGGAAUUGACGGGUCCCCGCACAAGCGGCGGAGCAUGCGGCUUAAUUCGAUGCAACCCGAAGAACCUUACCUGGGUUUGACAUCACGGGAAAAGCUGUAGAAAUACAGUGUCCGUAAGGGCCCGUGACAGGUGGUGCAUGGCUGUCGUCAGCUCGUGUCGUGAGAUGUUGGGUUAAGUCCCGCAACGAGCGCAACCCUUGUCCUAUGUUGCCAGCAGUUCGGCUGGGGGACUCGUAGGAGACUGCCGGGGAUAACUCGGAGGAAGGUGAGGACGACGUCAAGUCAUCAUGCCCCUUAUAUCCAGGGCUGCACGCAUGCUACAAUGGCCGGUACAACGGGCAGCGACCCCGCGAGGGUGAGCGAAUCCUAUAAAGCCGGUCCCAGUUCGGAUUGAAGUCUGCAACUC